CCUUCUUCAGAGCAGCGCGAACCAACUGCCUCUGACCAGGUGAGACGGUUCCGUCCCUCUCCUGCCUCUGACCAGGUGAGACGGUUCCGUCCCUCUCCUGCCUCUGACCAGGUGAGACGGUUCCGUCCCUCUCCUGCCUCUGACCAGGUGAGACGGUUCCGUCCCUCUCCUGCCUCUGACCAGGUGAGACGGUUCCGUCCCUCUGCUGCCUCUGACCAGGUGAGACGGUUCCGUCCCUCUCCUGCCUCUGACCAGGUGAGACGGUUCCGUCCAUCUCCUGCCCACUGACCAGCUCCCACACCUGUUAAACAAUCAGUCAAUCAAAUGUAUCGAUAAAGCAGUUUUUAGAUCAAAAGAGUGAGAAUAAGGGGUUUU
rnacentral:lncRNA from 1 species